AUCUCUUAGUAAUGGCGAAUGAAAAGAGAUGUGCUUAGUGUCAAAAUCAGGUUAUCCUGAAUUGUAGGCUGUAGGGGUGAUGCCAACUUGGGUGCAGGUGAAAGUCUCUUGGAAAGGAGCACCAGUGAGGGUCAGGGUCCCGCCUGUCAUCUGUCAUCCCUUGUAGACGGUUUGCCCAUUGAGAGUCGUGUUCUUCUGGAAUAGAGCGCCAAACGGGUGGUACUCUUUGCCUAAGGAGCAUUACGUGCUUGAGACCAAUAGCGAACAAGUACCAUGAGGGAAGGGUGAAAAGGACUUUGGAAAGAGGGUUAAGAGGGCUUGAAGCUGCUGGAAGGGAAGUGGAUUGGACUUUUACUCCGCGGCAAGAUUGCAGGCUGUAGUCUUCACUUGUGGGGAACUGCGUACUGUGUCUCUUGCCGCAUGGUUGAGCUCUGUGUAGCGCUCAGAAUCUUAGCGUGGACUGGAGAAGGGUUGCGAUCUGGACCAUGUCUUUGCCUACUCUUAGCGCAACAUUUAUCUUGACCAAAUAGUUCAAUUUUACCCGUCUUGAAACACGGACCAAGGAGUCUAAUGCGUGUGCGAGUGUAAGGGAUUGACACCUGACAGCUCAACAAAGGUGACUGCUGGGAUUCUUGCACCAGCAACCAACUGAUCGCUUAGGAGAUGUUUGUGUAUGAGCACACUUGCUAGGACCCGAAAGGUGGUGAACUAUGCCUGAGAAGGGUGACGUCAGGGGAAACUCUGAUGGAAGCUCGUAGCGCUACUGACGUGCAAAUCGUUCGUCUGACUUGGGUAUA
rnacentral:rRNA from 1 species